AGUACAUGAAUGACUUGGCAAAAUCCUGCAUGCUGCAUGAUUUUUGCCAAAUCAUUCAUGGUGUGUAGUCCCUUAUAAAAGUAGGCUUUCCCCUCAGUCUAACAUCACUCUCAUCUGGGACCAAGUUAGUGAACUCUCUCUACCUGGGAACCUCAACUCUAAGAUACAGCCAUGGCUCAUCGUCUGCAAGACAUCAUUAAAAGCAUGGUGGAGUUGUUCGUGGAGUACUCUGACGCUGAGGGCAAGAUCAGCAAGGAGCAGAUGAUGAAGAUGAUGGAUAAAGAAAUUGAAUGCGCUGAGAUGAAAGAAAAGCUCAAAGCUAAAAAAUGCGACAAGAAUCCCUGCGACUUCAGAGACUUUUCUUGUUGUCUGGGACAAGCUGCCGUUUGCUGCUACCAAAAGAAGACUGGCAAGGGCCAAGACUGGGAAGACUGCUCAAAAAAGUGCUAAUGGCAUAAUGUUACACUCCCUACACGAGAAUGUGAUGUUUAUUGUCUCACUGUCAAUUGGUUUUCAAAGGCCCUUCAAUACUGGCAAAUAAAAAAUAAAAAUGAUUGAGUUUAAA